GCUUUAUAUGGACCAUUGAAAUACGCAUACAUUGUUCUAAAAAUUUUAUAUUUGAGAUAACAUGAUUUUUAUGUUAAAAAUAGAGAGGUAACAUAAUUUCUAAAUAUUAUUGAAUAUUGAGAAAAUUGCCAAAACGGAACAAAAAUUUAGCACUGUUGUCCCUUUGGUAUAAAAUCACCAUUAAAUUGUCCCUAUGGUAUAAUAUUUUUCAUAAUCCCAAAAUUAACCCUGAGUUAAUAAAAUUAAACACAAUUUAAAAAUUAAAAUGAAUUUUAAAAAGUUUAAUAAAAAAUAAACAAACGUUUUAGAAAGGCAAAAUAAAUUAAAAUAAAAAUAAAAGAAAAAGGUUCAAAAACCAGUAACCUAACUGUUUGUUUCUCUGCCUCUCUCUCUCUCUAUCUAGACGAACAAGAAGGAGAUUCUGUGUCUUCUCCAGUGAAAUCAACGACGAGUCUACCAACCGAUGAAAUCGAACUUUCCACCGUGGGUUUGAUCGAAUCUCUCCCCUUCGUCUUACUCCACUUCUCUCGCUCCACGAACAAGAAAGCGAUUUCAGAGCUUCUCUAGAUGAUUGGUGAAAUAGACUCUCUCUUCCGGCGGAAGCCCUUCAUCUUGUUCUCUCCGCCUCUCUCUUUAUCCGACAUCGCUAGCCGUGAGGGAGAUGAUUUUUGAACAGAUGCUUUGUCUUUGGAAGUGAUGUGGGCUGAUCAAGAUGCUAUUAGAGCUGGAGUUGGGAAGUAGCCGUGGAGAAGAAUCAGGCAGCUAGCACUUCCCACGGAUGAUCUGUUGCUCUGUACGAUCGCGGCGUUGGUAUAGGAAACUGAUCAUACAAAAAUACAGUAGUAUGAAGAAUAUUGCGGAAGAGAAUAAUAGCAUGGCUGGUCAGCUUGAUGUCUGGACGCUUCUUGAUGAUGCGCAUCACUUUGUCGUGAGACUGUUUUUUUUCCCACAAUUGUAUUAUGGAUAAUAUAAGUUCAAUUGUAGCUAUUCCAUUUCUCGCUUC